ACCCUGUGUCUCAUCAGGUUAAUUAAUCCUGAAUAGCUGCUUUGUUUAAUCCGAAUUCCUGUCACUCUGACCAAUCAGGGCUGCUGAUGUCAUCCUCUCCCUUCCCCCACCAUGUCAUAUGCGUGUGUGUGUGUUUUUGUGUGUGUGUGUGUGUGUGUGUGUGUGUGUGUGUGUGUGUGUGUGUGCGCGCUCCGUUAUCGUAGCAGCAUCAGUGUGAUGAAGAAGCUCAUAUGAAGCGUCUCUGUUUUCCUUUGAGGGGCGACCACAGCCUGCUGACCCCUGACACACACUCUGGGUCGGUGGGCGGGGCCUCGCUGCCAGGACACCUGAGCAACCCGUCCACCAGGUGGCGCCGGUCGGCGUCGCCAACUCGCCGCCUACGGUUCGAGGAUGAGACAGAGACGGAGGCAGAGUCUCGAUACCUGGAGCGACAGCAGGGGACAGGUGUCCAGGUGUCCAAACCGGACCUGAACCAGCUCAACGUCAGAGGAAGACCCGCAAUGACGGUGGCGAUGUCUGGAGCCCAGCUGGACUGCCACCUCACUCUGCGUCCACCUGUAGCCAAGGUGAGGGGGCGGGGCCUGAACAGACCCCUCCUCCUGGUGCGGACGGAGGUGCUCAAAGACUCUUAUAUCGGCUGCGUCUCACCUGCUGACUCAGGUGAGGGAGGGGGUGUGGCUCUCAGCAGAGUUGAUAAAACAGGUACAAACCAGGUGACAGCUUCACAAGCCCCGCCCACUGUCGAAACACCUGCCAACCCCUAUGCCUUGUACCCGGUGGGCACGCCGUUGCCCCAGCCGCCUACCUGCCACCAUCAUGACCAUAAACAUCCUUCCUCUUUAACCUCGCUAGCUGUGACAUCACUGAUGAUGUCACAGAAUGGAGGGCUUCAUAACACAAUGAUGGGAAACCAGCAAGAGAAGAAGAAAUCCUCUGAUCCCCAACCUGGCUCUGAACUGAAGAAGAAGGAAGACUGGUCUUCCUCAGGUGAGAACAGGACUUACCUGUAGACGCGAUGAGCUCAGGCGACAAUUUCCCACCUGGUCAAACGUCCAGGUAGUCAGGCAGAGUGAGCUGCAGCUGAAGACAAAGCCCCGUCCACCUCAGGUAGCCCAGAUGGAGACCGCAGACAUCCAAUCAGAGAAGAGCUCCACAGUGUUGUUU